rnacentral:rRNA from 1 species
GUGCUAUACAUGCAGUCGAGCGAACGGACGAGAAGCUUGCUUCUCUGAUGUUAGCGGCGGACGGGUGAGUAACACGUGGAUAACCUACCUAUAAGACUGGGAUAACUUCGGGAAACCGGAGCUAAUACCGGAUAAUAUUUUGAACCGCAUGGUUCAAAAGUGAAAGACGGUCUUGCUGUCACUUAUAGAUGGAUCCGCGCUGCAUUAGCUAGUUGGUAAGGUAACGGCUUACCAAGGCAACGAUGCAUAGCCGACCUGAGAGGGUGAUCGGCCACACUGGAACUGAGACACGGUCCAGACUCCUACGGGAGGCAGCAGUAGGGAAUCUUCCGCAAUGGGCGAAAGCCUGACGGAGCAACGCCGCGUGAGUGAUGAAGGUCUUCGGAUCGUAAAACUCUGUUAUUAGGGAAGAACAUAUGUGUAAGUAACUGUGCACAUCCUGACGGUACCUAAUCAGAAAGCCACGGCUAACUACGUGCCAGCAGCCGCGGUAAUACGUAGGUGGCAAGCGUUAUCCGGAAUUAUUGGGCGUAAAGCGCGCGUAGGCGGUUUUUUAAGUCUGAUGUGAAAGCCCACGGCUCAACCGUGCAGGGUCAUUGGAAACUGGAAAACUUGAGUGCAGAAGAGGAAAGUGGAAUUCCAUGUGUAGCGGUGAAAUGCGCAGAGAUAUGGAGGAACACCAGUGGCGAAGGCGACUUUCUGGUCUGUAACUGACGCUGAUGUGCGAAAGCGUGGGGAUCAAACAGGAUUAGAUACCCUGGUAGUCCACGCCGUAAACGAUGAGUGCUAAGUGUUAGG